rnacentral:lncRNA from 1 species
CCCUGACUCAUUCCGAUUUCUCACUCUGCCAUAACCAUUUUUCCUGCCAAACCGCUCACCCCGUCACUCUCUUUAAAUUAGCCAAUUGGAAUUAGUUUAGUUUGUGCGAUCUAACCCUAGCCAAUAGGGAAAUGACACAGCAUCAGGGGCCACGUGCAUCAGGGAUAAGGACCCCUUCCCCUCCUUUGUCCAAGUGUGCGCUCACCAUCGCUCCAUCUGUCAGGGCGCACCCUUUUAUAGAAGAACAUGGCCUUGCAGAGAAUUAAAAAGAAAAUUUUAUAUUUGAGUGCUAUUUCUUUUGCGGCACCGAAACUUUAUAACAAUUUCAGGGCUCACCCUUGAUUACAUUUCCCCCAGGGGCGGUCUCCGGUUCUCUCUCCUGAGGAGGCGCACCCCGCCCCCUUGUGGUGGCCUCAGGGGUGAGAAAUCAGGACCACCCAGUGCGAGGAAUAACCGGAGCUCUCUGCAACGCUGAAAGAAACUGGCCAGCAACCUAGCUUAAAGGAUCCUCACAUCUGCGGCGAUGACUCUGUGCACAGACCAAGGAAGGAGAAGCCGCCGGAGCCAGUAAAGUACUCCCUUGGUGGUCAAAUUCCGGAGGGCUAAAUGUGUGUGUGCAUGAAUGAUCACAAAUAACCCUACCUGCGGUGUUGUUCAUGUGGAUGGUGACAAGACCUACUGCUGGACAGAGUGAGUGGGACCUCUCCGCAGUUCCGUAGCUACCUCAUAUGGCUUAGGGCGGAUCCUGCCGUGGGAUUUAUACUGGCACACCGACACUAAGAGGGGCCUAAUUCUCCCUUGGGGGAGCAGCCAGAGAGGGCAACACAAGUGGGAAGUGUGCAAGGGACCUUGAGAGGGGGAAAGGGAGGAAACAGGUCAACCUCCCAGAGCAGCAAGAGGUCUUUUAGCACAGGUGCUGCCUUUGGACUUUCCAGUGCCUCAGCAUCAGCCUGGGGAUCACGUUCUCAUCAAAGAGGGGAAAGAAGGGAAACUCGAGCCAGCCCGGGAAGGACCCUACCUUGUGCUGCUAACCACUGAGACUGCUGUUCGUAAGGUUGGAAAGAGAUGGACACAUCACACAUGAGUCAAGCAAGCACCAUUAUCCUCAGAAUCAUGGGCCAUUGUUCCUGGAUCAAGCCCUACCAAAUUAAAGCUAAGGAAAGCUUAGUCUAUCUAUCUUUUCCUUUCCCUUCCUUACCCAGUGCUUAUAUCCAUUACUAUUCCUACCACUAGCAACUCUAACCCCACUUUAGAACGCUUCUGUGGUUUAGGAGCAGAGGUCACUGGAAAGGAUCCUAUGGGCUUCUUUAAGGUGGGCUUUGUUCUCCCUCCUCCACCUCCUAUGGCUGCCCCUUUCCCAAACCUACAAAAUCAAACUAUGACUCACCUCAUGCCAAAUGACAAAAGCAAGGUCCCGGUAGUAGAAAUAGGAGACCUAAGGCAAACCAUAGCCAUUAAAACAGGGUAUAAAAAUGUAAAUGCCUGGUUAAAAUUGAUUAAAUAUUCUGUCCACACGUUAAACAAAGGCAAUUUUUAUGCUUGUGCACAUGACAGGCCAGAAGCCCAGAUUGUCCCCUUUCCACUAGGGUGGCCCUCUAGUUGACUGGGCAUGGCCUGCAUGGCAGAUCUUUCCCAGGAUUAUUCAGCCUGGGGUAACAAGUCGUGCCAAGCUCUCUCUCUGCUACAUCCCGAAGUUCAACACCCUGCGGGUCAGCCCCCAAGGGCCAUCCAGCUUCCAUCUCCCAACACUAAGUUCACUUCGUGUCUCUCAGGACCGGGAGGAAACUUAGCGUUCCUUGGAGUCCUGAAGGGAUGCAGUGAGAUUAAGAAAUUUCAAGAGCUUACCAAUUAGCCCUUACUCAUCCCUGAGCAGAUGUGUAGUGGUAUUAUGAUGGACCUUUACUGGACACUCUGCCGAGUAACUGAAGUGGCACUUGCUUUAGUCCAGUUGGCUAUCCCUUUCACGCUGGCAUUUCAUCAACCAGAGAAAGGAAAAAUAAGAUAUCAUAAAGCAAAAGAAGCCCCUUAUGGGUCUUUUGACUCUCACAUCUAUUUAGACAUAAUUACAGUCCCACAGGGAAUACCAGAUCAAUUUAAAGCCUGAAAUCAAAUAGCUGCAGGAUUUGAGUCAAUAUUUUGGUGGGUGACAAUAAAAUGUAAAUUGGAUAAACUACAUCUAUUACAACCAACAGCCAUCCAUUAACUACACUAGAGAUGCUGUUAAAGGAAUAGCUGAGCAAUUAGGGGCUACUAGCCAGAUGGCUUGGGAAAAAUAGGAUAGCCUUAGACAUGAUAUUAGCAGAAAAAGGAAGAAUUUGCAUCAUAAUUAAAAAUCAAUGUUGUAACUUCAUCCCAAACAACACCGCCCCUAAUGGAAGUAUAACAAAGGCAUUGCAAGGUCUGACUGCUCUAUCCUGAGUUAGCCAAUAACUCGGGGGUAAAUGACCCCUUUACAGGAUGGCUGGAAAAGUGGUUCAGUAAAUGGAAAAGAAUAGUAGCCCCAAUUCUUACUUCCAUCGCAGCCAUCAUAGGUGUGCUUAUUCUUGUCGGGUGUUGUGUCACACUAAGGAAGGAGACCGCUACAACUCCUGCUGCCCUCCUCCCACCACCUUGCCUAGUUCACAAGACAGGAGGAAAGAGAGAAAGCAAAAAGCUGGAAAGAAGCAAAAGUAAGAUAAAUAGCCAGACAACCUUGGCACCACCACCUGGCCCUAGGAGUUAAAAAGGUAAUAAUAAUAACAUCAACCCCAGACCUAAACUACUUGUGUUAUCUGUAAAUUCCAGACAUUGUAUGAAAAAGCAUUGCAAAACUUUCUGUUCUGUUAGCUGAUGCAUGUAGCCUCCAGUCACGUUCCCCACGCUUGCUGGAUUUAUCACGACCUUUUCAUGUGGACCCCUUUAGAGUUGUAAGCCUUUAAAAAGGCCAAGAAUUCAGUUUGCAGGGAGCUCAGCUCUUAAGAUGCAAGUCUGCCGAUGCUCUCAGCCAAGUAAACCUCUUCCUUCUUUAA